AACUCACAGCUCUUUUAGACUACGUUUACAUGUGGGGGGCUAUUCUCAUAAACCAACAUUUCAACCUCUCCGUUUUCAGAAAAGUGUUUGUUUACACGUACCCGUGUAUAUAUGCCGUCAAUGCCGUCAAGAGCACGCCAAACCUGUAGGUGGUAGUGCAACGGGAAGCUCAAGCCCACGUUAGCCAAUCAGAAUCCCUAAAAUAGCAA